rnacentral:sRNA from 1 species
ACGGAGGGGAGAUCCAGAUUCAAACACGAAGCGGAGGCGCAGGAGCCAAGCGCUGCAAACCAGCACCAAUAAGGAGGAACAAUGAAGGAGUGGCAAGGCUGGAGUUCUAAAGCUUUCAUCCUUCAAACGGCUACAUGCUCCCGUUGCCAACAGAGGUUUUGCUACAUCUGGGAAGAGGUCACUUUUUGAAAUUCUGUAUGCAAUUUUGAGAAAAAGAAUGAUAUUCCUUUUCUCACUCUCCUAAAAAAAAUACAGAAGUUAUUUUCUCCCUUGCCAAAAAAAGAAGAAGAAAACCAAAAAGAGAAAUCAGUUUGAGAUUUGAUUGCACAGACAAGAACAGAGGCCUUGCCAGACCAUGGCAGAUGACUCAGGAAGCCUUUAAUCUUGGCUCCAACCUGGUCUCUGCCUAAGGGUUCAGAAAAAGGGCUGCGCCAUGGAGUAUUCUGGUCUGUAAAAGAAAAAAGACUUUUUAAGAGUCUUCUGGAACUCGGUCUGCUUAAUAAGGCAUUUCAUCCUGAUGUAGUUUCCUCUCCCCUCCUCCACUCUCUCCUCCAUCUUCAUCCUUCCCCCGAGAUCCUGCUUUUCCACCUCUUCUCAGACAAGAGCAGACCUUCCAGGGAUGUCAACCAAACAUGAUUUCAUGAGCUACAAAUUAUACCAGGCCCAUCCUAUCAAUCAAUCAAGGCUGGAUGUGGCGACCAAGUAGAAGGAAAACUAUUCCAAAAGCAGCCAAAAGAGUAAGAGACAGCCUCCACUAGUACCAUUGGGAACCACAUGUGAAGACUAAGCUACUGACUCAUAACAUAUAAUACAGAGGACUUGCUCAGACCCCUGUAGGCUUCCUGAUCUCUGUAAGCUUUCAUGAUUUCUGGUCAGUUUAUUUUAUGGUAAAUUAAAAGGUAAUCAUAAUACAAUCCACAGAACCAGGAGGCUAAGUAAGAAGGAAGACCUAAGACUGGACACAAGGAACUCCCUGGGAAGAGGAAACAGGAUAUAUUUUGCUGGUGGACUGGAGACAGGUGGAUUUGGGAGAGGAGAGUCAGGUGAUUGAGGGAGAAAAUAGUGGGAGACAUAACUGGAAUUGGGUGUAUUUCAGAAGCAAGAUAGAAACUUAGUGCAAUGGGAAUUCCAGGAAAUCUACUAGAGUAACUUUAGCAAUGACUCCUAGUAAUUGGGGACACUGAGCCUGAACAAGAUCAUCUUCUAUAACCAGGAACAGCCUCAAGUGGAGGGAUGGGGACACCAAUACAGCUACAAAACCUUCUAUCUACUGUUUGUCUUGCCUGCAGAAUGGUUUGGGGCCAGGACAAUCAUCAGCAGAGAGACUUAAUGAAGCAACUGCUAUCAGGGAGCAGAUGCAGUGUUCCAAAAUCCCAAGCAAUCAGUGAAGCUAUGGGACUGCUGCAGAGGAGAGAGGGGUGGGGUGGAGAACCAUGGGAACCAGAAGGGUCACCACAAGAAACUUCAUUUUCAGUGUGAGAUUUCGAAAGGUUGAAACUUAAUGUGACAAUGAUGCUGUUAAAGGCAAAGUCAACUGGGAUUAUUAGGAUUAGCUAAACUCAUCAGGUAGAACACCUAUUGAACACAUUAUUUUAAAAAAGGAGUAACCAGAGGAUCUAGAGCUGUCAGUGUUAUUACCUGUCUCUUGGCAUGUGACAUCCUGUACAACCUGGGGACCGUGUCAGCCAGAGUGAUUUCACAAAAUAGAAUCCUGUAAGUCUCCGGAACUGUGAAUUAAAUAAACAUAUUCUCUUUAUAACGUUUUUUAGCCUGGAACAUAGAGGAACAAAGAUGAAGUAUUACUAAACCCAUAAAAGGCAAGGUAGAUGAGCAUAAUUCAGCAGAAAACUAAGCCAUGAUAUAAAUCAGUUACAGUUUUACCAAGAAAAAUAGGAGCUCUGGAACAAAGGUAACCUGCCCUGGUCAGGGAGAGCCUGGACCUUACACCCCACUAAGCUGCUGAUAACUGGCAUCCACCUUUGAAAGAGCUGCUUUUGAGAGGACCUGGAUGAUACAUCAAAUUUGAAGAGCAGGGACAGCUGUUUCUUCCAGCUACAGGAGAAACUCCAUGAGUGGAAGAGCUGAUAGCAUACAUCCUUGGCUACUAGGGAAGAGAAAUAGAAGUCACUGUUUUUUCUUCAGAAGCCUGCUUAGAUAUACCUAGAAGUACUUCCAUAAGCUCACAAAAAUAUGUUGAAUAUACACAUACAACUUUGGUCUCAUUUUAGUGCAGUCACUUGAGACCCUGUGACCAUGGGCAUCCCAGGGCUAUUUGGAUCUUAGGUUUGAUAGAUAUAGCUAGAAAGUAGAAAUUCCCUAUUGCUGCUACUUUAACAUCCCCCCUUUCCCCAUACUAAGGGCUACUCGAAAACUGCAUGAAGGAAACAGAGAGGAAGAACAAUGGAUCAGUGUGACAGCAGUACAAGGUUAGAGACAGAGGAGAAGGCAGAAAAUUAGGAAAGAUGCUGGGAGACAAGGUAUGAAGAAUGGCAGCCAAAGGUUUUGUGGCAGGUAAUCUGAGUUAGAAAGGGAGCGCCAUGAAUACAAUUUUCUGAAAUAGAAUAAUCAAAUAAGCAUGUUUACUGCUUCUAGCUAUGCAUUAGCAUUACCUUUGGACUUCAUUCCAGAUCAUUUAUAUCAAGCUCUGUAGGAGUGUAACCCUGGCGGGCUUCAGAAUUUUUCAAAAGCCUCUCAGUUGGUACUGACAGCACAGCUGGAACUGUGAAGCUGCUGUUUGGGAAGUGCACUCCCAUUAGCAAGGAGCUUCCCAGGAAAUCUCACCUGCAGAAUCCCCAUCCAUCUUUGCCCCUGCGCUGACCGCCCUCCUCUUCAGUGCCAAACUGAGUGGGGAUUAGUGGCUCCUCUUUCACCACUCACUAGAGUCCACCAUCGCUGGACAUAAAUGUCCGGUUGCAGAAGGUUCCUUCCCUCAGUGGAAAGGACCUAAGCAAAGCACAAUAUGUUUUGCACUGAGGACAGGUUAAACCAAUCCUACCACCCACACAGUCAUAAAUAAAACAUGAAUAGGGGAAUCCAGCGCUACUGGUUGUAAAACCCAUAAAUGUUUUAAGUAACUCAUUAAUAAUGUUUCUGCUGUGUGCGGAGGAGUAUGUAAAAGUUCUGCUUGCAUAAUUCUUUCUUCUACUAGGUAUCACCUUUUCCAGAAUCAAGGAAGAGAGGAAAGAAGGGAAGAAAGAUGGGAGGGAGAAGGAAGGAAACACAGAAAUUUAAAUUGUUGCAACGACAAUUUACAAGCCAGUGGUGAAGCUCAUCCUUGAGGAUCCAAAAGGGUCAUAUGUUCUGGUCGGUUUUGUUAUCUAUGUUGUUG